rnacentral:lncRNA from 1 species
UGCAGUGGCCCUUGAGGCUUUUCUCAGCCCCUCUGCUUGCUUUGUGGUAGCAUCAUGGAGUAGUACACUGGAAUGGAGGAACCACAGGACAAGUAUGUUUUACAGAUGUGGAAACUGAGAACUGUCAUACAGUUUGGGGCAGAGCUGGGAUUCCAACUUCUGGCCUCCCUGUUCAAAGGAUGCUAUGGAUACUCCAGGCUGAAGUGGAAGGAGGUCUUACGAAGCAUGAUGAUAGAAUGUUCAAAAGAGAAUUCAAAGAGAAAUAUUCUGGUAAGAAGGAGGCAAUUAUUAGAAGAAAUAUCUAAAAACCUACCCUAAGAAAGGUCAUCUAUUCAACCUUGCACAGAAGUGGAAGGAGGAGGACUUAGACUUGGUUGACGUUCUUAUUUGUUUCUACCAUCACCUCCAUAUCCAUCUUUAAUUAUAAGAAAAAAAUUUAAGUAGGAAAGUAUAUUAAGUAAUGUUCCUUGUGGGGAAAAAAAUCUUACUUUUGAUUUUUCAUAUAUUUUCCAGAAGCUUAAUUAUGAGGAGUGC